UGAUACGAAAUAAUAAUAAUUAUGAUUAUUUAGAUGAAUAUAAUUUGAUUAUUAUUAAACGACAAACUAGCACUAAUAAUUAACUAAAACAAUUAUUUUAAAGAAAAUAUUGAUCUCAUUUCGAUCAAAUUUAUAAAUAUCUAUAUAAAUGCAAAAAAUAUAAUCUUUGUUGAUACAUUUAUUUAUAGAUGCAUAAAAAAAAAAAGGAAAAGAUAAAGAAAAUAGUAAAUACUUAUGAAUGUAUAAUAAAAUUUGAAGAACAAUCAAAUAGUAAUGAUAAGUAUAUUGAAAAGUAGGGAGGGGGAAAGGCGACAGAAUUAGAUAGGACACACCUGGAUAAUCGAAACGAUGAAUCGAUUAAAAUGAAAUUAUCAGAGAGUUCUCAUUACUACGUUAAUUAUGGUGCCAUUUAAUCCAUAUUACUCGUGCAGCUUUAUUGUCGACGAUAUCGUCAAAAUGAAUUUUCAUUCGCGUAUCAUUACGAGGUGAUAAUAAUAUCAAUUAAUUAAAAUUUCAUUACUGUCGAAACGAUGAAGAAAUGUAAAAUUCGUCUUCCCGUGACGUUUGAUUAGUUUCAAUUUUCUCUUUUUUUUUUCUCUCUCUCUCUCGCAUAACAUGAAUUUCCAAAUUGAAUUUGUUUAAUAAUAAUAAAAAUAAAGUAUUUUCUUCUAAAUUGCAAGUGACUUUUAAAGUAAUUAAAUCGAAGUCAAUAAAUGAAUAGAAAUUAAAAUAAAAAUUGAAAUAGAAACUAAAAUAAAUAGAAACGAAAAAAAAAAAAUCCGUACAGUGGAUAUUGAUCUGAAGUAUUUCUAUUUAAUAAAUAUCUAGUAGUAACGGAAGCAUUAAUAAUGAAAAAUAAUUAAAAAAAAGAAAAAGAAAAAAGUUACUCGUUAUCGUAUUACAUGUUACAAUUGCGAUAAAGCUAAUAUAGUUUACGAUUGAAUGAUUCUUGAGAAUGUAAUCUUGAAUAACGCGAAGUAUAACUGUAAAAAAUUAAACAAGCAAAAACAACAGAAAAAGAUAUCGAACAAAGAUCAACAAGACAUUUCCCACUUUGAAGUAAAUAAUUUAUUAUCUAAUGCGAUAAGAUGGUGUAACGAUUUUGAUCCCACAUCACGUAAUCCGAAUACAAAACUCGGUUUGUGGAAGAAAUUUUUUUUUCUACACCAUUUGAAAUUAUUAACAGAAGAAUAUAAAUUAUCGAGCGAUAAUAAUUUAGCGUACUUUUUCCAGAUCAUAUAAUCCGUAUACAAAUUUCCUUUUGAGCGAAAAUUUCCCAUUCUAUAAAAAAUGUUAAUUUUUAAACAGAAGAUAAUGAAUUAUCUGAAGAUGGCAUGAUUCCUCGUGCCACCUUUUCACGCAUCAUAUGAUCCUGGUACAAAGCAUGAUUUGCGGGAAACUCAACCAAUUUGUUCAAAAUUUGAGUUUUUUAACAGGAGAUAAUGACUUACCUGGAGGUGGCAUGGUUUUCGUGUGCCAUCUCUUCACGCGUUAUGUUAUGCCGAUAUAAAACUCAAUUUACGGGACGUAUUCUAGCUUCGUUCAAAAUUUGAAUUUUUGAACAGGAAAUAAUGACUUAUCUGGAAGUGGCAUGCAUUAACGAAAUCUUAAUACAGAACUCGAUUUCUGAGAACAAUUCCAGCUUCCUUCAAAUUUUCAAUUUUGGAACAGGAGAAGAUAAUUUAUCUGAAGGUAGCAUAAUUCCUUGUGUUACUUUUUUUUUACGUAUCAUGUGAUCCUGAUACAAAACUGAAUUUUUGGAAACAUUUUACCCUUUUGCCCAGAUAUUUUACAUUUUUGAACAGGAGAUAAAGACUUACUUAGAGAUGGUUUAGCUUCGAGUGCCAUCUCAUACGUCAUGUGAUUCUGACACAAAAUUUGAUUUGCAGAAAAUAUUUCAGCAGUGUCUAGAAUUUGCAUUUUUGAACAGGAGAUGAUAAUUUAGUUGGAGGUGGCAUGAUGUAAAUGUCCUACCUCUUUUCUCAUUACGUGAUCCUUGAUACACGAUUUGCGAGAAAAAUUGCAUCUUUGUUAAAAAAAAAAAAAAAAAAAAAAAGAAAAAAAUUUGAAUUUU